rnacentral:rRNA from 1 species
GUGGGGAAUAUUCCGCAAUGGACGAAAGUCUGACGGAGCAACGCCGCGUGAGUGAUGAAGGUUUUCGGACUGUAAAGCUCUGUUGUUUAGGACGAAAGUGCCUGUUGCAAAUAGUUACAGGUAUUGACGGUACUGAACGAGGAAGCCACGGCUAACUACGUGCCAGCAGCCGCGGUAAUACGUAGGUGGCAAGCGUUGUCCGGAAUUAUUGGGCGUAAAGAGCAUGUAGGCGGGAAUCUAAGUCUGUUGUGAAAAUGCGGGGCUCAACCCCGUAUUGCGAUGGAAACUGGGUUUCUUGAGUGCAGGAGAGGAAAGGGGAAUUCCCAGUGUAGCGGUGAAAUGCGUAGAUAUUAGGAGGAACACCAGUGGCGAAGGCGGCUUUCUGGACUGUAACUGACGCUGAGGCUCGAAAGCCAGGGGAGCGAACGGGAUUAGAAACCCCGGUAGUCC